ACGAACGCUGGCGGCGUGCUUAACACAUGCAAGUCGAACGGUGAAGCGCCUUCCUUUUUGGUGGGUGUGGAUGAGUGGCGCACGGGUGAGUAACACGUGAGUAACCUGCCCCCUUCUUCUGGAUAACCGCAUGAAAGUGUGGCUAAUACGGGAUAUUCUGGGUCUGUCGCAUGAUGGGUCUGGGAAAGAUAUUGUUUCGGUGGGGGAUGGGCUCGCGGCCUAUCAGCUUGUUGGUGGGGUGAUGGCCUACCAAGGCGGUGACGGGUAGCCGGCCUGAGAGGGUGGACGGUCACACUGGGACUGAGACACGGCCCAGACUCCUACGGGAGGCAGCAGGGGGGAAUAUUGCACAAUGGGCGCAAGCCUGAUGCAGCGACGCCGCGUGAGGGAUGGAGGCCUUCGGGUUGUGAACCUCUUUCGCCAGUGAAGCAGGCCUGCCUCGUUUGUGGGUGGGUUGACGGUAGCUGGAGAAGAAGCGCCGGCUAACUACGUG
rnacentral:rRNA from 1 species